rnacentral:tRNA from 1 species
GCCGGGGUAGCCAAGCGGUAAGGCGGCGGGCCGCAGUGGGUGUGGUCACCCGUUUAUCGGGGGUUCAAAUCCCUCCCCCGGCU